CGUAGGUAAUCUACCUUUGGAUGGGGAAUAACAGUCGGAAACGGCUGCUAAUACCGCAUAAUGCAGCGGCACCUAAUGGUGACAGUUGUUAAAGCGGGGGAUCGAAAGACCUCGCGUCUAAAGAGGAGCCUGCGGCGGAUUAGCUAGUUGGUAAGGUAAUGGCUUACCAAGGCUACGAUCCGUAACCGGCCUGAGAGGGCGGUCGGUCACACUGACACUGGCAUACGGGUCAG
rnacentral:rRNA from 1 species